rnacentral:rRNA from 1 species
UCCGUAGGUGGCGAGCGUUGUCCGGAUUUAUUGGGUUUAAAGGGUGCGUAGGCGGUUCUAUAAGUCAGUGGUGAAAUCCGGCAGCUCAACUGUCGAUGUGCCAUUGAUACUGCAGAACUUGAGUACAGACGAGGUAGGCGGAAUUGACGGUGUAGCGGUGAAAUGCUUAGAUAUCGUCAAGAACACCGAUAGCGAAGGCAGCUUACUAGACUGUAACUGACGCUGAUGCACGAAAGCGUGGGGAGCAAACGGG